CGUCUGAUUUGAGAUCGCUAAGCAUGCGAGUAAGGUGUCUUCGGACGCCGGCAUACGGCUCAGUAACACGUAGGUAACCUACCCUCAGGACUGAGAUAACCCCGGGAAACUGGGGCUAAUAUUAGAUAGAUAAAAGAUACUGGAAUGUUCUUUUAUCCAAAGCUUUUGCGCCUGAGGAUGGGCCUGCGUCCGAUUAGGUUGUUGGUGGGGUAAUGGCCCACCAAGCCUGCGAUCGGUACGGGCAGUGAGAGCUGAAGCCCGGAGUUGGGGACUGAGACAAGGCCCCAGGCCCUACGGGGCGCAGCAGGCGCGAAACCUCUGCAAUGCGGGAAACCGUGACAGGGGGAUCCCAAGUGCUCAUGCAUUGCAUGGGCUGUUCUUUGGUCUAAGUAACCAGAGGAGUAAGGGCUGGGCAAGACCGGUGCCAGCCGCCGCGGUAAUACCGGCAGCUCAAGUGGUAGCCGCGAUUAUUGGGCCUAAAGCGUUCGUAGCCGGAUAAGUAAGUCUUUGGUUAAAUCCUGCGACUUAACCGUGGGAAAUCUAGAGAUACUGCUUGUCUUGAGACCGGGAGAGGUUGGAGGUACUCCCAGGGUAGGGGUGAAAUCCUGUAAUCCUGGGGGGACCACCUGUGGCGAAGGCGUCCAACUGGAACGGGUCUGACGGUGAGGGACGAAACCUAGGGGAGCGAGCCGGAUUAGAUACCCGGGUAGUCCUAGGCGUAAAUGAUGCGAGUUAAGUGUGGGGGCAUCUACGAGAUGGCCCUGUGCUGUAGGGUAGCCGUUAAACUCGCCGCCUGGGGAGUACGGUCGCAAGGCUUGAAACUUAAAG
rnacentral:rRNA from 1 species